rnacentral:rRNA from 1 species
CCUACGGGAGGCAGCAGUGGGGAAUAUUGCACAAUGGGGGAAACCCUGAUGCAGCGACGCCGCGUGAGUGAAGAAGUAUUUCUGUAUGUAAAGCUCUAUCAGCAGGGAAGAAGAAAGCCGGUACCUGACUAAGCCGCCCCGGCUAACUACGUGCCAGCAGCCGCGGUACUUCGUAGGGGGCAAGCGUUAUCCGGAUUUACUGGGUGUAAAGGGAGCGUAGACGGCUGUGCAAGGCUGAAGUGAAAGCCCAGGGCUCAACCCUGGGACUGCUUUGGAAACUGUGGAGCUAGAGUGCGGGAGAGGUAAGUGGAAUUCCUAGUGUAGCGGUGAAAUGCGUAGAUAUUAGGAGGAACACCAGUGGCGAAGGCGGCUUACUGGACAGUAACUGACGUUGAGGCUCGAAAGCGUGGGGAGCAAACAGGAUUAGAUACCCCAGUAGUC